rnacentral:rRNA from 1 species
GACGAACGCUGGCGGCGUGCUUAACACAUGCAAGUCGAACGGAAAGGCCCUGCUUUUGUGGGGUGCUCGAGUGGCGAACGGGUGAGUAACACGUGAGUAACCUGCCCUUGACUUUGGGAUAACUUCAGGAAACUGGGGCUAAUACCGGAUAGGAGCUCCUGCUGCAUGGUGGGGGUUGGAAAGUUUCGGCGGUUGGGGAUGGACUCGCGGCUUAUCAGCUUGUUGGUGGGGUAGUGGCUUACCAAGGCUUUGACGGGUAGCCGGCCUGAGAGGGUGACCGGCCACAUUGGGACGGAGAUACGGCCCAGACUCCGACGGGAGGCAGAAGUGGGGAAUAUUGCACAAUGGGCGGAAGCCUGAUGCAGCAACGCCGCGUGCGGGAUGAAGGCCUUCGGGUUGUAAACCGCUUUCGCCUGUGACGAAGCGUGAGUGACGGUAAUGGGUAAAGAAGCACCGGCUAACUACGUG